rnacentral:rRNA from 1 species
UACAGAGGGUGCGAGCGUUAAUCGGAAUUACUGGGCGUAAAGCGUGCGUAGACGGUUGCGUAAGUCAGAUGUGAAAGCCCCGGGCUCAACCUGGGAAUUGCAUUUGAGACUGCGUAGCUAGGGUGCGGAAGAGGGAAGCGGAAUUUCCGGUGUAGCGGUGAAAUGCGUAGAUAUCGGAAGGAACACCAGUGGCGAAAGCGGCUUCCUGGUCCAGUACCGACGUUCAGGCACGAAAGCGUGGGGAGCAAACAGG